GACAAGCCGAGAGAGGAGCGUGGGAGGCUGACUGCAACUAAAGGGAAGUUCAGCUCCUUGUCAGACAAGUCAGCAUUCUGGACAUGUACUUGCCUGUGUAUCUUCCUCUAAGCAGAGGGCUCGAACCGGUAUCCUUACACUGGUCCUCACACUUUGCGGCAUGUGCGCUUAACCCAGGGCACUACCACCCACCCCCCCC